rnacentral:rRNA from 1 species
CGGGAGGCAGCAGUAGGGAAUAUUGGGCAAUGGACGAAAGUCUGACCCAGCCAUGCCGCGUGCAGGAUGACAGCCCUCUGGGUUGUAAACUGCUUUUAUAUAGGAAGAAACCCUUGGAUGCGUCCGAGGCUGACGGUACUAUUUGAAUAAGGAUCGGCUAACUUCGUGCCAGCAGCCGCGGUAAGACGAAGGAUCCAAGCGUUGUCCGGAUUUACUGGGUUUAAAGGGUGCGUAGGCGGACUUUUAAGUCAGUGGUGAAAUCCCGCAGCUUAACUGCGGAACUGCCAUUGAAACUGAAGGUCUUGAAUAUGGUUGAGGUAGAUGGAAUAUAACAUGUAGCGGUGAAAUGCUUAGAUAUGUUAUAGAACACCGAUUGCGAAGGCAGUCUGCUAAGCCAUCAUUGACGCUGAGGCACGAAAGCGUGGGGAGCAAACAGGAUUAGAUACCCUGGUAGUCCACGCCCUAAGCGUUGAUUACUCGCUGUUGGCGAUAAACUGUCAGCGGCUAAGCGAAAGCGUUAAGUAAUCCACCUGGGGAGUACGUCCGCAAGGAUGAAACUCAAAUGAAUUG